CAGGAGGCCGCGCGCUCCGCAGUUUCUAUGGUAACAGCAAACUGAAAAUACAAGAGCUGCUGGAGCUCCGGGAAGAGCAGUUUUUGCCAUCAAAUGACUUUUGAGACCAGUUGCCAUAUUACCCCUACAAAAAGACCUCGUUUUUCUGGAUUAUCUGGAAGCCCUGAUCAUGUCAUAAUAUUCACAGAUGACAUGAGAAUCUGGCCAAAGUCUGAGAUGCACUUUCUACAGCUGCGAUGACAGCAGGAAGAAGCUCCUUAGCCAUUUGCCCAGCGAGGCUGUGACUUGCUUGUGGAGACUACACAUCUAAUGGCACACAGAAGCUAUACAUUCAGCAUCCAUCUGAGCAAGAUAUAGCAAAACAGAAUUCAAGAAAGUCUCUGCAUCUGAUGGGGACCAGUAAGGAGGAGGACCCAGCAAAAACAGCAUGACAAUAUUUCUAGAAGACAUCAAUUGCCCUUUAGCAUCAGAGGAAGAAGCUGCUCCUCCAUUCCAUUUUUAUGUCCUUGUCACACAUGUUUCCUGUGUGUGUGCCACCCCACACACGCACCCUGACCACAUUAUAGGCCCUCUACCAGUACAUCCUGGCUAUACAUAUUCCCUACAUGUAGGUCUCCCUAUGUGUUCUCUAUGUGUGUGCCUCUUCACAUGUGCUAAUAACAUGUCUUCUCUUCUCCUUCUAAUGGUGUGUGUAUUUGUAGAAGAGUUUGCCCCAAGUUUAUGGGGAAAGUUUUAUUUCUACUUUUUUUAUAAUGCCAGAUUGCCUUUGCUUCAAUCUAAUUACGUUCUCAGACUAUUAAAGGUAAACAUAUUAGUGGGGGCUUAUGAGCUAUGGUUUUAGUAUAUGGAAAAUCAUAAAGUAGCCUUGAACCUGAGGUAGUUCUAUCAGGGAGAUCUGCCCAGCAAGUGGGAGUUAGUGGGGUGAGUUUCUCCUAGGCACUGUACAUGAUAUAAAUUAUCCAUUUUCCACAUUUUCUUACCUAACUGCCUUUAUUGUUUUUGUUAUUGUUGUUGUUUUUCCAGAUUGCUUCUAUGUUCACUUGGUGUGUAGAAUUCACAUUCAUUGUAGUAAGCCUAAAACAAACGAAAGGGAGACCAAUUUUCUAAACAUAUAUACUUGGUGAAGCAAAAGCCAUUAAGUUGCAAUACAAGAUAAUAUAAUCAUCUACAGGUGAAAGUCUAUUUUUGACUAUAGUUUAAAAUAAAUAUAUUACUUAGUUUGGGGCAAAACCAAAUAGAAAUGGCUUUGGUGUUAUGUACUCUUUUGUAUCUUCUGUCAUCAUCUUUCCUUUUUAUUAAUUAGAUAAUUAAAUGCUGAAUGUACACUAAAGCCAACCUAUAAUUCUU